rnacentral:lncRNA from 12 species
GAGCCUGAUCCUGGCCCCUGGCUCAUCCGAAGGGCCUCGAGCCCACACACUGGGAGGCCAGCGCUUCCUGGCGGGGGUGCGGUGCACACAGCCUGGGUGCUCCGGGGCUCCCCGUCUUGCUGGCCACCAAGCCCAGCUACUUUUGCUACGGGGACCCCAGUAACUUGAGAAACACCAAAACGUCCAGGGAAGCCUCCUCACCUCUCACUCAAGUUGCGGCUCUGCUGCAGACACUGGGCUAAGCUGCUUCUCACACAUGAUCACUCACAUUUUCGGGGAAAGUGGGAGGAGGAGCAGGUUAGAGAAAGCGCCCCCAGCCCAAUUCGCCCCGACUGGGAACCCACGGGGUGCUGAACAGACGUCAGCUCUCUCUGCUCCUGCUCAGUCCCCGCGGGCAAGGAAGCGCCAGCGGCUGGAGAAGGUGGUUUCGGUCUCCCGUGGGUGCCCCUGACCCGAGGGGGCACCACACAGCCGAGGCAGCUGAGGUCGCAGCCGAAGUCACCUUCUCUCCGCACAGGAAAAUGCUCGUUCCCCGGGCCGAGCGCUUCCGCCGCGCGCUGAUCCCACCCGCCAAGCCCCGAAGGAGCCGGCGGCGCAGCGGCCCAGGCCCGGCCCCAGCACUGCUCCGGACUCCCGGUAGGGGGAGCCUCCCCGGGCGCGGGGCCAGCCCGGGUCCCGGCCUCCCCGCUCGGCCUCGCAGCCCGCGCGGCCGCCUCUCCACCUGCCCGUGGGGGAAGGGAGCCCCGCGCCGAGCCUGCCCCCAUCCCUGGCUGCUGCACCGCAGAGAAGACAGACACGACCGAAGUGCAUUCUUGAGGUCCAAAUAUAGGAGCGGCUCAGAAGCUUUCAUUUUAGGAUAUGACCAAUGUUCAGAGAACAACCCAAAUUCAGGGUGAAGGGGAAAGAAGUCAGACACACUGUGAACCCACAGAUCACUCUACUGUGCCCCGUGUGGUCGAACACCUGAGCUCGAGGGGCCAGAGAAUUCCUGGAGGAUACUCCGCAGAUAAAACCUGCAAGCUCCCCUUCUGCAAAAAGCCAUCCUUCCCGCAGGAAUCCACAGCGCAGAAGAGCUCUCAUAAGGCCAAGUCAUCAAGAGCUCUUCAGAGAGAAUUGCAUAAGCAAAGAAUUUCACACUUGGAAGGAAACUUAAAGACCACUUAGUCUAAUGGUUGUGGUUUACUGGUGAGGAGCUUGAGCUCAGUAGACGGGAGGCAGAUUCACACUCCAGGUGAGAAAAUCCCUGAAUGCGGAGUUGAGCCUCCAACUCUCCUCUUUUGACCCUCAGUCCAGGACUGUUUGGACCGCAGGACACCAGAAAUGCAUUUUACUGUUGUUGCUAUCCCGGUAAUUACGAAUAUAUUUCCACAUAGUUUAGAGUGCUUAGUAAGACAUACUUCUUUCAUAAUAUUGCAACAAUAGCAAAAUCUGCAAGGUCUGUGUGAAAAGAAUAUUACAGUUGGUUCAAGAGACGCUGAAUUUUGGAAGUGAAGUUGCAUAUAGCAUUGAGGCAUUUGGGGGAGAGACUAAACAAAAGUGGUUGUAUUGUUUUAUCCCAAUUUAAGAACAUGCAAUAUAUGCAAAUAUAUGAAUAAAUGAACAAAACAGUACA